AAUGGGAUAGCUGGGUCAAAUGGUGGUUCCAUUCCCAGUUUUCUGAGGAAUCUCCAUACUGCUUUCCAUAGUGGUUGCACCAAUUUGCAGUCCCACCAGCAAU
rnacentral:pre_miRNA from 1 species